rnacentral:rRNA from 1 species
CGCAUCUGUGCAUGCAGCAUAUCAAUAAGCGGAGGAAAAGUAAUGCUGUAUACCUACGCUUAGGAUGUUGACGAGACUGUCGAUCCUCAUCCUAUACAUGACUCUGUGCAUAUCAAUAAGCGGAGGAAAAGAAACUAACAAGGAUUCCCUAGUAACGGCGAGUGAAGCGGGAAGAGCUCAAAUUUGAAAUCUUAAAGGUUUUCCCUUGACGAAUUGUAGUUUAAAGAAGUGUUUUCUGUUGAAGUUUUGGUAAAAGUUCUUUGGAAUAGGACAUCAUAGAGGGUGAGAAUCCCGUAUUUGACCAUUAUUUUCAGCUUUGUGAUACACUUUCAAAGAGUCGGAUUGUUUGGGAAUGCAGUCCAAAAUGGGUGGUAAAUUUCAUCUAAAGCUAAAUAUUGGCGAGAGACCGAUAGCGAACAAGUACCGUGAGGGAAAGAUGAAAGAACUUUGAAAAGAGAGUUAAACAGUACGUGAAAUUGUCAAAAGGGAAGCGUUUGACACCAGUGUUGUUUUUCUCGAAAAUCAAUUAAAAAUGGCUCGAUUUUGUAUUGCUGAGACCUUAAAAGCUCACUGUACAUUUUUCGUGUCUUUUUUAAUGCACUUUUCGUUUAACAAGUCAACAUCAGUUUCUUUUGUUGUAAAAGGGUCAUUGGAAGGUGGCUUUCUUUUCGGAGAAAGUGUUUAUAGCCUUUGGCCUCUGCAAUCGGAGAGACUGAGGUCUGCAGCGUAGACUCUUCGGGGUUAGAUACAUUUGUGCUAAGUUAUAGCAUUUUAUAGACAACUUGUUGACUAUGAUUAGUCUUGUAGCUUACUCGCUUAUGCUAUUUUACCUACGCUUAGGAUGUUGAUAGUCACAGCGUGUAC